GACGAACGCUGGCGGCGUGCUUAACACAUGCAAGUCGAACGGAAAGGCCCUGCUUGCAGGGUACUCGAGUGGCGAACGGGUGAGUAACACGUGGGUUAUCUGCCCUGCACUUCGGGAUAAGCCUGGGAAACUGGGUCUAAUACCGGAUAGGAGCCAUUUUUAGUGUGAUGGUUGGAAAGUUUUUUCGGUGUAGGAUGAGCUCGCGGCUUAUCAGCUUGUUGGUGGGGUAAUGGCCUACCAAGGCGGCGACGGGUAGCCGGCCUGAGAGGGUGGACAGCCACAUUGGGACUGAGAUACGGCCCAGACUCCUACGGGAGGCAGCAGUGGGGAAUAUUGCACAAGGGGCGCAAGCCUGAUGCAGCGACGCCGCGUGGGGGAGGACGGCCUUCGGGUUGUAAACUCCUUUCGCUAGGGACGAAGCUUUUUGUGACGGUACCUAGAUAAGAAGCACCGGCUAACUACGUG
rnacentral:rRNA from 1 species